rnacentral:rRNA from 1 species
UACCAGCACCCCGAGUGGUCGGGACGUUUAUUGGGCCUAAAGCAUCCGUAGCCGGUUCUACAAGUCUUCCGUUAAAUCCACCUGCUUAACAGAUGGGCUGCGGAAGAUACUAUAGAGCUAGGAGGCGGGAGAGGCAAGCGGUACUCGAUGGGUAGGGGUAAAAUCCGUUGAUCCAUUGAAGACCACCAGUGGCGAAGGCGGCUUGCCAGAACGCGCUCGACGGUGAGGGAUGGAAAGCUG